rnacentral:rRNA from 1 species
GACGAACGCUGGCGGCGUGCUUAACACAUGCAAGUCGAACGGAAAGGCCCUGCUUUUGUGGGGUGCUCGAGUGGCGAAAGGGUGAGUAACACGUGAGUAACCUGCCCUUGUCUUUGGGAUAACUUCACGAAACUGGGGCUAAUACCGGAUAGGAGCUCCUGCUGCAUGGUGGGGGUUGGAAAGUUUCGGCGGUUGGGGCUGGAUUCGCGGCUUAUCAGCUUGUUGGUGGGGUUGUGGCUUACAAAGGCUUUGACGGGUAGCCGGCCUGAGAGGGUGACCGGCCACAUUGGGACUGAGGUACGGCCCAGACUCCUACGGGAGGCAGCAGUGGGGAAUAUUGUACAAUGGGCGGAAGCCUGAUGCAGCAACGCCGCGUGCGUGAUGACGGCCUUCUGGUUGUAAACCGCUUUCGCCUGUGACGAAGCGUGAGUGACGGUAAUGAGUAAAGAAGCACCGGCUAACUACGUG